GUGUCAGCAGCCGCGGUAAUACGUAGGUGGCGAGCGUUGUCCGGAUUUACUGGGUGUAAAGGGCGCGUAGGUGGUUGUCUGUGUCUCACGUGAAAUUCCCUGGCUCAACCAGGGAGGGUCGUGGGAAACCGAGAGGCUAGAGGGCAGGAGAGGAGAGUGGAAUUCCCGGUGUAGCGGUGAAAUGCGUAGAGAUCGGGAGGAACACCGGUGGCGAAGGCGGCUCUCUGGGCCGAUCCUGACGCUGAGGCGCGAAAGCUAGGGGAGCGAACCGGAUUAGAUACCCGGGUAGUCCUAGCCGUAAACGAUGGGUGCUAGGUGUUGGGGGGUAAAGACCCUUCAGUGCCGAAGCCAACGCGAUAAGCAUCCCACCUGGGGAGUACGGCCGCAAGGUUGAAACUUAAAUAAAUUGACGG
rnacentral:rRNA from 1 species